rnacentral:lncRNA from 1 species
GGCUUUUGCAAUCACCAUAGGAAGAAGAUUCCACAGUAGCCUGUGAUUCCAGAAGAAUGAAAGACAUGUGGAGCAGCUAUGGACCAAGUUAACUAGAAGCCAACUUAGAUUAGCCAUUCUUCAGCCACAGACAUGCAGCACGUGGUUGGGUGCAGCUUGCAAUCACAAAUCAAAACGGAAGAGGAAGAGGACAACUGUAUAAAGCAGCGUGAUUUAAGUUGAUCUGUGGGACAAAGAGUUAAGCCACAAAUAUUUGGGGAGAGAGGCAUUUUAUAAAACACUGAGAAGGCAAUAGAGAUUCUACUUCAUCCAGGACAGAGAGAAUAGGCCAUAAUUCUGGUGAAAGAAAAUAUUGAAAACUCCAUCUUGGC